UCUCCGUUGGUGAACCAGCGGAGGGAUCAUUACCGAGUUAUACAACUCCCAAACCCAUGUGAACUUACCUGUCGUUGCUUCGGCGGACCGCCCCGGGGCCCAUCGGCCCCGGACCCACGGCGCCCGCCGGGGGCUCGACGGACUCUUGUUUUUUUUCUACGCAGACUUCUGAGUGGCAUUUAUUACAAAUAAAUCAAAACUUUCAACAACGGAUCUCUUGGUUCUG
rnacentral:misc_RNA from 1 species